rnacentral:rRNA from 1 species
CAGCCGCCGCGGGAAUACGUAGGUGGCAAGCGUUGUCCGGAAUUAUUGGGCGUAAAGGGCUCGCAGGCGGUUUCUUAAGUCUGAUGUGAAAGCCCCCGGCUCAGCCGGGGAGGGUCAUUGGAAACUGGGAAACUUGAGUGCAGAAGAGGAGAGUGGAAUUCCACGUGUAGCGGUGAAAUGCGUAGAGAUGUGGAGGAACACCAGUGGCGAAGGUGACUCUCUGGUCUGUAACUGACGCUGAGGAGCGAAAGCGUGGGGAGCGAACAGGAUUAGAUACCCCAGUAGUCCCUGUCUCUUAUAC